CGCAUCUGUGCAUGCAGCAUAUCAAUAAGCGGAGGAAAAGAAACUAACAAGGAUUCCCCUAGUAACGGCGAGUGAAGCGGGAAGAGCUCAAAUUUGAAAUCUUAAAGGGUUUCCCUUUACGAAUUGUAGUUUAAAGAAGUGUUUUCUGUUGAGGUUUUGGUAAAAGUUCUUUGGAAUAGGACAUCAUAGAGGGUGAGAAUCCCGUAUUUGACCUUUACUUUCAACUUUGUGAUACACUUUCAAAGAGUCGGAUUGUUUGGGAAUGCAGUCCAAAAUGGGUGGUAAAUUUCAUCUAAAGCUAAAUAUUGGCGAGAGACCGAUAGCGAACAAGUACCGUGAGGGAAAGAUGAAAAGAACUUUGAAAAGAGAGUUAAACAGUACGUGAAAUUGUCAAAAGGGAAGCGUUUGACACCAGUGCUGUUUUUCUGAAAAUCAAUUAAAGAACUGUUUAUGCUAAGUUGUUUAGACUUUAUCAGCUAACUGUUUAGUUUUGAGCUUUUCUUUAAUGCACAUUUCAGUUAACAAGUCAACAUCAAUUUCUUUUGCUGUAAAAAAGCAUUGAGGAAGGUGGCUUGAGAUUCGUCUUAAGUGUUUAUAGCCUCUUGCCUAUGCAGUCGGAGAGAUUGAGGUCUGCAGCGUAGAUCCUUCGGGGCUAGAUGCAUUUGUGCUAAGUUAUAGCAUUUUAUAGACAACUUGUUGACUAUGAUUUGUCUUGUAGCUUACUCGCUUAUGUUAUUUUACCUACGCUUAGGAUGUUGAGUCAUCACACAUCUCU
rnacentral:rRNA from 1 species